rnacentral:lncRNA from 1 species
AUGAAGAAACAGGGGGAUAUACUGCCAUCUUAAACCAACCCAAAUGCCUCUGCCGCAGUCGCAGUUAUUUAGGGUGGAGGAGCGGGCUCUGGCAACUAGAGAAGGUGGCCGCAACAUGGGGACACCCGAAUUGAGGAGCUGUUUGGGCAAUAAGCUGAUUUAGAGAAUUAAGACCUACACAGAUGGGAGCGGAAUCCGCAACUGCUCAAUCCAUCCACUGAGAAAUCCCAUAAAAGAUGGACAAUCCAUAACUGAAACCCAACCUUCGGCACAAUGAUCAAAUUCUACAUGCAUAAAGCAAGAGAUCUGUGUGCCAGAUCCAUCUUAAACGACCCCACCCAGAGGACAGAGUCUGUCUCCUUCCCCUAAACAAUAUGCAGAAACCACCCUGGUAUUUCAUGGUUCUCACUUAGGAAAAUUGAGUUCUGUUCAGUGACGCCCCUUCUGCACUUAUUAGUUUCAUGUGACAAAGAGAGCACUAGGGAGGACUUUUGCUAGGGGAACGCAGGAUUGUUCCAACAAGAUGAAGGCCUGGAAGACCUGGAUGGCCUGGGUAUUUUCUUCCCAGGGAGACCAGAGGAGGUCUGGAUUUGAACUCGAGUCUUACGACUUUGCCAUUGAGGCAACAUCCAAAAUAAAAAUAGCAUGCUAACCCCAA